rnacentral:rRNA from 1 species
AACGAACGCUGGCGGCGUGCCUAACACAUGCAAGUCGAACGAGAAGUACGUAGCAAUACGUAUUGUAAAGUGGCGCACGGGUGAGUAACACGUGGGUAAUCUGCCCUCGAGUUUGGGAUAACCCCGCGAAAGCGGGGCUAAUACCGAAUAAGACCACAGGGACCAAAGUCCCUGAGGUAAAAGACGGCCUCUAUUUAUAAGCUGUCACUUGAGGAUGAGCCCGCGGCCCAUUAGCUAGUUGGCAGGGUAACGGCCUACCAAGGCGAUGAUGGGUAGCUGGUCUCAGAGGACGAUCAUGCACACUGGAACUGAGACACGGUCCAGACUCCUACGGGAGGCAGCAGUGGGGAAUGUUGCGCAAUGGGCGAAAGCCUGAGGCAGCAACGCCGCGUGGGGGAUGAAGGUUCUCGGAUUUUAAACCCCUUUCGAUCGGAACGAAUCUCCUCUUGGUAAAUAAUCAGGAGGAUCGACGGUACCGGGAGAAGAAGCCACGGCUAACUCUGUGCCAGCAGCCGCCGUAACAC